GUCUCCCCAGGCGGUCACUUACGCGUUGGCUACGACACCGAGGGGGUCGAUUCCCCCGACACCUAGUGUUCAUCGUUUACGGCCAGGACUACAGGGGUAUCUAAUCUCUUUCGCUCCCCUGGCUUUCGUCCGUGAGCGUCAGUUAUGGCCCAGCAGAGCGCUUUCGCCACUGGUGUUCUUCCCGAUAUCUACGCAUUUCACCGCUACACCGGGAAUUCCCUCUGCCCCUACCACACUCGAGUCUUACAGUUUCCAUCGCUGAAAUGGAGUUGAGCUCCACGCUUUAACGAAAGACUUGUAAAACCGCCUGCGGACUCUUUACGCCCAAUAAUUCCGGAUAACGCUUGCCACUCCCGUAUUACCGCGGCUGCUGGCACGGAAUUAGCCGUGGCUUAUUCAUCAAGUACCGUCAGAUCUUCUUCCUUGAUAAAAGAGGUUUACAGCCCAGAGGACUUCAUCCCUCACGCGGGGUUGCUCCGCCAGGCUUGGNNCNUUGGGGAAAUUCCCCCC
rnacentral:rRNA from 1 species